CCUACGGGACGCAGCAGUGGGGAAUAUCGCACAAUGGGCGCAAGCCUGAUGCAGCCAUGCCGCGUGUAUGAAGAAGGCCUUCGGGUUGUAAAGUACUUUCAGCGGGGAGGAAGGUGUUGUGGUUAAUAACCACAGCAAUUGACGUUACCUGCAGAAGAAGCACCGGCUAACUCCGUGCCAGCAGCCGCGGUAAUACGGAGGGUGCGAGCGUUAAUCGGAAUUACUGGGCGUAAAGCGCACGCAGGCGGUCUGUCAAGUCGGAUGUGAAAUCCCCGGGCUCAACCUGGGAACUGCAUUCGAAACUGGCAGGCUGGAGUCUUGUAGAGGGGGGUAGAAUUCCAGGUGUAGCGGUGAAAUGCGUAGAGAUCUGGAGGAAUACCGGUGGCGAAGGCGGCCCCCUGGACAAAGACUGACGCUCAGGUGCGAAAGCGUGGGGAGCAACCAGGAUUAGAUACCCGGGUAGUC
rnacentral:rRNA from 1 species